AAAAGAUGGUUGUAAUUUUUGUAGCAAGUUUGUAUGAUCAGAAUACAAAGCAUUUCUUAACACAAUUAAAUAUAUACAACACAACUCUCAUAAAAGUGGCUUAAACUCUUUCAUGAUCCAAUACAGAAAAAAAAUGUAACUGUCUGUGAAGGUAAAUUAAUCCAUUAUUAUACCUUGGUCAUGAAAUCUACCUAGGCAAGAGUGGCCUUGAAAUCAAAUUAGUCACUCUGCUCUUUUAGU
rnacentral:lncRNA from 1 species